rnacentral:rRNA from 1 species
GUAGGUGGCAAGCGUUGUCCGGAAUUAUUGGGGCGUAAAGCGCGCGCAGGCGGUUCUUUAAGUCUGAUGUGAAAGCCCACGGGCUCAACCGUGGAGGGUCAUUGGAAACUGGAGAACUUGAGUACAGAAGAGGAAAGCGGAAUUCCACGUGUAGCGGUGAAAUGCGUAGAGAUGUGGAGGAACACCAGUGGCGAAGGCGGCUUUCUGGUCUGUAACUGACGCUGAGGCGCGAAAGCGUGGGGAGCAAACAGGAUUAGAUACCCUGGUAGUCCACGCCGUAAAUGAUGAGUGCUAAGUGUUAGGGGGUUUCCGCCCCUUAGUGCUGCAGCUAACGCAUUAAGCACUCCGCCUGGGGAGUACGGCCGCAAAGGCUG